CGGUAGCUCAGUUGGUAGAGCAACGGACUGAAAAUCCGUGUGUCGCCAGUUCGACUCUGG
rnacentral:tRNA from 1 species